GGGGAAUAUUGGGCAAUGGGCGCAAGCCUGACCCAGCAACGCCGCGUGAGGGAAGAAGGUUUUCGGAUUGUAAACCUCUGUCGCAGAUGACGAAGGAAGUGACGGUAAUCUGUGAGGAAGCCCCGGCUAACUACGUGCCAGCAGCCGCGGUAAUACGUAGGGGGCGAGCGUUGUCCGGAAUUACUGGGCGUAAAGGGAGCGUAGGCGGUCGAUUAAGUUGGAUGUGAAAUACCCGGGCUUAACUUGGGGGGUGCAUCCAAUACUGGUUGACUAGAGUACAGGAGAGGAAAGCGGAAUUCCUAGUGUAGCGGUGAAAUGCAUAGAUAUUAGGAGGAACAUCGGUGGCGAAGGCGGCUUUCUGGACUGACACUGACGCUGCGGCUCGAAAGCGUGGGGAGCAAACA
rnacentral:rRNA from 1 species